rnacentral:lncRNA from 1 species
GUCGCCGAACCCGCCUGGCUAGCCGGCGAGUUGAGUGGCGACUCUUUUGAAACAGAUGGUCACCAUGUUUAGAUAUUAGCAGUCCCGUAUGUGCAUGUCUGCAUUUGAAAAUGGAAGAGGGAAACAACAAUGAAGAGGUAAUUCACUUGAACAACUUUCACUGCCAUCGGGGACAAGGAGUGCCUUCUCUAGAACUGCUAGCAUGUCAGAUCAGCUCAAGCAUGAGGUCAUAUGAAGACGUGGGCAGACUGAAGUCCGACAGGCUUCCCCACUGCUUUUGCCCCAGGGUGCAGAUAUUAGAACAGAGGCUACCACUUGUUUCUGUAGAAGAAAAACUUUGUCCUUCAUUUCCUGUGCCUCCAAAUGUCACUUAACCUCCAGAAGAGUUCUGUUGACUUUGUAAUUUUCUUCUGGAAAACCCAGAUUAUCCAAAGAGAGAAGACAGAAUCAUUAUAAAUCCCAGUAGCAGUCUGCUGGCCAGCCAAGAUGAGACAAAGUUGCCUAAAAUAAGACUUUUUUGACUAUUCUAAAUUGACUCCUCUUGACCAGCACUGCUUCAUCCAAGCUGCUGACCUCCUCAUGGCCGACUUCAAAGUGCUCAGUAGUCAGGACAUCAUGUGGGCCCUGCACGAGCUCAAAGGACACUAUGCAAUCACCCGAAAG